UGUGUCUGCGAUCUGGCUGUGACAUCUGUCACCCCACUGAUCGCCAGGGUUGAUUCGGCUGAUCUGGCUGAUUAGGCAGGUGACCCCUUCCUCCCUCACUGCUCUAUGUGUGUCCCUCCCAAAGCUGCACACUCAGUUGAAAAGGAUGGCUUUCCCUGAAAGAAGGAGGGCUGUCCUCUGGUCAGGGGUAGACAAGUAGCUGCCCUCCCCUGCUAGAAGCUCCAAACCAGUUCUCAAGGUCCCAGAUCCUAUUUGUGUGCGAUAGCCAGGCACCAUCUAAGUUCUCCCCCACACUU
rnacentral:snRNA from 1 species